CCUGGCUUAGGAUGAACGCUAGCGACAGGCCUAACACAUGCAAGUCGAGGGCAGCACAAGGAGCAAUCUGAGGUGGCGACCGGCGCACGGGUGAGUAACACGUAUGCAACCUGCCUGUAAGCGGGGAAUAACCCGUUGAAAGACGGACUAAUACCGCAUAAUACUAAAUUACUGCAUGGUAAUUUAUUUAAACAUUUAUGGCUUACAGAUGGGCAUGCGCAUGAUUAGCUAGUUGGAGAGGUAACGGCUCCCCAAGGCAACGAUCAUUAGGGGUUCUGAGAGGAAGGUCCCCCCACACUGGUACUGAGACACGGACCAGACUCCUACGGGAGGCAGCAGUGAGGAAUAUUGGUCAAUGGACGAGAGUCUGAACCAGCCAAGUCGCGUGCAGGAAGAAUCGCCCUAUGGAUUGUAAACUGCUUUUGCAGGGGAAUAAAGUGCAUCACGUGUGAUGUUUUGUAUGUACUCUGCGAAUAAGGAUCGGCUAACUCCGUGCCAGCCGCCGC
rnacentral:rRNA from 1 species